rnacentral:rRNA from 1 species
UACGUAGGUGGCAAGCGUUGUCCGGAAUUAUUGGGCGUAAAGCGCGCGCAGGCGGUCCUUUAAGUCUGAUGUGAAAGCCCACGGCUCAACCGUGGAGGGUCAUUGGAAACUGGGGGACUUGAGUACAGAAGAGGAAAGCGGAAUUCCACGUGUAGCGGUGAAAUGCGUAGAGAUGUGGAGGAACACCAGUGGCGAAGGCGGCUUUCUGGGCCUUACCUGACGCUCAGGUGCGAAAGCUAGGGGAGCGAACAGG